UACGAAGGGGGCUAGCGUUGUUCGGAAUCACUGGGCGUAAAGGGCGCGUAGGCGGCCGUUUAAGUCAGAGGUGAAAGCCCAGGGCUCAACCCUGGAAUUGCCCUUAAGACUGCAUCGCUUGAAUCAUGGAGAGGUGAGUGGAAUUCCGAGUGUAGAGGUGAAAUUCGUAGAUAUUCGGAAGAACACCAGUGGCGAAGGCGACUCACUGGACAUGUAUUGACGCUGAGGUGCGAAAGCGUGGGGAGCAAACAGG
rnacentral:rRNA from 1 species